rnacentral:rRNA from 1 species
GACGAAGGUGGCGAGCGUUGUUCGGAAUCACUGGGCAUAAAGCGUGCGCAGGCGGCUUUGCAAGACAGAUGUGAAAUCCCCGGGCUUAACCUGGGAACUGCAUUUGUGACUGCAUGGCUGGAGUGCGGCAGAGGGGGAUGGAAUUCCGCGUGUAGCAGUGAAAUGCGUAGAUAUGCGGAGGAACACCGAUGGCGAAGGCAAUCCCCUGGGCCUGCACUGACGCUCAUGCACGAAAGCGUGGGGAGCAAACAGG